UGCAAUUUUCCCAGUGCCGGUUUCUAGUGCUCGCUGUCCAACUUCAGGGUAUUUUUGCUCUCGCUCAGAGUUCAGACGUCCACCCCGGCCAUUUAGUCCCGUGGUCACAAGGAGCAGUUGCUGUGUUAGGACUCAGUGGAUGAUGAAACUCACCAGAGACCACAUAGCUAGAGAAUGGCCAGACUCAGUUUUGAAUCUAAGCAAUCUUGACUCCAGAGCCCUCCAGCUUAAAGGAUGGCCGUCUGAGAGUGACUUCUGACGGCCUCGCCAGCAACCACACAAGGUCUCUUACGGCUAAGACUCUGGAACUCACACAGCGUUUCUUUUGUCACCGUCUGUUGGUCAAGGACAGUCUCAAGGCCCACCCAGAUUCAAGGGAGUGGAGAGAUAGCCUCUGCAUCUUGAUGGAAAGGGUGGCAACAUCAUACUGCAAAAAUGCAUGUGGAUACAGGAAAGUGUGACUCAUUGGGGAGCAUUAUUAUAAUGUUUUUCCAUAGCUGACAUUUCCCACAGGAUAACAUUCUGCUUGCCAGCCUUCCUGUUAUGCCCACAGCUUCCUUUAAAUAGGGGUGCUUGGGUGGCUCAGUCGGUUAAGUGU